rnacentral:rRNA from 1 species
GUCUGAGAGGAUGAUCAGCCACACUGGAACUGGAACACGGUCCAGACUCCUACGGGAGGCAGCAGUGAGGAAUUUUGCGCAAUGGGGGAAACCCUGACGCAGCAACGCCGCGUGAGCGAAGAAGGCCUUCGGGUCGUAAAGCUCUGUCAAGUGGGAAAAAAAUCUUUUGAUCAAUAGUCAAAAGACUUGAUGGUACCAUUGGAGGAAGCACCGGCUAACUCCGUGCCAGCAGCCGCGGUAAUACGGGUGCAAGCGUUGUUCGGAUUUACUGGGCGUAAAGAGCGUGUAGGCGGUUUAGCAAGUCAGAUGUGAAAGCCCUGGGCUCCACCCGGGAAGUGCAUUUGAAACUGCUUCACUAGAGUAUGGGAGAGGAGAUUGGAAUUCCUGGUGUAGAGGUGAAAUUCGUAGAUAUCAGGAGGAACACCCGUGGCGAAGGCGAUUCUCUGGACCAAUACUGACGCUGAGACGCGAAAGCGUGGGGAGCAAACAGGAUUAGAUACCCUGGUAGUCCACGCCGUAAACGAUGAGAACUAGGUGUAGUGGGUAUUGACCCCUGCUGUACCGAAGUUAACGCAUUAAGUUCUCCGCCUGGGGAGUACGGCCGCAAGGCUAAAACUCAAAGGAAUUGACGGGGGCCCGCACAAGCGGUGGAGCAUGUGGUUUAAUUCGACGCAACGCGAAGAACCUUACCUGGGUUUGACAUCCUCUGACCGUCUGGGAAACCAGAUUUUUCCGGCUUUGCCGGAACAGAGUGACAGGUGCUGCAUGGCUGUCGUCAGCUCGUGUCGUGAGAUGUUGGGUUAAGUCCCGCAACGAGCGUAACCCUUGUCUUUAGUUGCCAUUAUUAAGUUAGGCACUCUAAAGAGACUGCCUCGGUUAACGGGGAGGAAGGUGGGGAUGACGUCAAGUCCUCAUGGCCUUUAUAUCCAGGGCUACACACGUGCUACAAUGGGCUGUACAAAGGGUUGCUAACCUGCGAGGGUGCGCUAAUCCCAAAAAGCAGUUCUCAGUUCGGAUUGAAGUCUGCAACUCGACUUCAUGAAGGUGGAAUCGCUAGUAAUCGUGGAUCAGCAUGCCACGGUGAAUACGUUCCCGGGCCUUGUACACACCGCCCGUCACACCACGAAAGUCGACUGUACCAGAAGUUGCUGGGCUAACCUCUUCGGAGGAGGCAGGUACCUAAGGUACGGCCGGUAAUUGGGGUGAAGUCGAAACAAGGUA